AGUGAACGCUGGCGGUAGGCCUAACACAUGCAAGUCGAACGGCAGCACAGUAAGAGCUUGCUCUUACGGGUGGCGAGUGGCGGACGGGUGAGGAAUACAUCGGAAUCUACUUUUUCGUGGGGGAUAACGUAGGGAAACUUACGCUAAUACCGCAUACGACCUACGGGUGAAAGCAGGGGAUCUUCGGACCUUGCGCGAUUGAAUGAGCCGAUGUCGGAUUAGCUAGUUGGCGGAGUAAAGGCCCACCAAGGCGACGAUCCGUGGCUGGUCUGAGAGGAUGAUCAGCCACACUGGAACUGAGACACGGUCCAGACUCCUACGGGAGGCAGCAGUGGGGAAUAUUGGACAAUGGGCGCAAGCCUGAUCCAGCCAUACCGCGUGGGUGAAGAAGGCCUUCGGGUUGUAAAGCCCUUUUGUUGGGAAAGAAAAGCAGCAGGUUAAUACCCCGCUGUUCUGACGGUACCCAAAGAAUAAGCACCGGCUAACUUCGUG
rnacentral:rRNA from 1 species